rnacentral:sRNA from 1 species
UUUGUAAUGUUAAUAAAAUUAGAUCUAUAAUAUGUAGUUACAAUUUUUAUGGUUAGAUUCAUUUGUGACUCGAAAUAUCAAUUUAUAUAUUUUUGUGUAUAAAGCUAAUUAUUUAUAAGAUUUUAAUAUUUUUUCACUUCAUGAAUACAUAUAACAACAAUAAUGAUAUUUUGAUACAAUUCUGUGUAACUAUGUUAUUUUUGUAGUUUAAAAUUUUCCUAACUCGAUUAUAAAUAAAUCAAUUCCUUAUUUUAUGUACUUCAACAACAUUGUGAUAGAUUCAUGAUUAAAGUUUGGAUUGACAUCAACUGAAAAAGAUCUGAAGAGUAUUCGUACAAAAAAUAAAAAGAUAGCAAAAAUUGAAUGUCAUUGAAGUCAACACUUUUGGAUUUUUUGUCAUUGCAUAUAUCAAUAUUAGAGAAAUGAUCGUGUCUUUGAUGAUUUGAAAAUUGUUCAACUUAAUUAAAAAUAAACUAUUUAUGAUUUUAUUUAUUCUCCAAAUAUAAUAAUCCAACAACAUUGUUAUAGUCUCAUGAUUAAAUAUAUAGAAUUGAUAUAAACUGAACAAGAUUUCAAGAGUACUCAUAUGAAAAUAAUA